UAAAUAUAUAAUAUAGUUUACAUUUGAGUUUGAGUUUAGUGGUCCAUUUAUUUAGUAUUUAAAAGUUGGAGUUAAUGAAAUGUUUGUGGUGAUAUAAAGUAAAAUUAAUGAAAUAUUUGUGGGUAUGUGUAUGUGAUGUGGCUGUGUUAUCUUCAUUUUGUUGGUGACAGUUUGCAUUAAUUAUUGGCCACACUUGGAUUUUGUCAACGUCAUCUCCACAUCUUGAAGUCACCGGCAACUUGCAUGAAUCAAGGGUAAAACCGGUGGAAAUGAAGCACAAUUGAUAGAUACUAUAUUAUGUCAAAAUCAGUGCUCUGCACUUAG
rnacentral:lncRNA from 1 species